rnacentral:piRNA from 1 species
UCUAGAUGUCAUCAGACUUUCUUAGAUAUU